rnacentral:rRNA from 2 species
UAAGCCUGUGAAGGUGGCCUGUGAGGGUUGCUGGAGGUAUCAGAAGUGCGAAUGCUGACAUAAGUAACGAUAAAGCGGGUGAAAAGCCCGCUCGCCGGAAGACCAAGGGUUCCUGUCCAACGUUAAUCGGGGCAGGGUGAGUCGACCCCUAAGGCGAGGCCGAAAGGCGUAGUCGAUGGGAAACGGGUUAAUAUUCCCGUACUUGGUGUUACUGCGAAGGGGGGACGGAGAAGGCUAUGUUGGCCGGGCGACGGUUGUCCCGGUUUAAGCGUGUAGGUGUGUGUUCCAGGUAAAUCCGGUUCACUUUAACACUGAGGCGUGACGACGAGGCACUACGGUGCUGAAGCAACAAAUGCCCUGCUUCCAGGAAAAGCCUCUAAGCAUCAGGUAACAUCAAAUCGUACCCCAAACCGACACAGGUGGUCAGGUAGAGAAUACCAAGGCGCUUGAGAGAACUCGGGUGAAGGAACUAGGCAAAAUGGUGCCGUAA